rnacentral:rRNA from 1 species
AGACCCGAAACCCGGUGAUCUAGCCAUGGGCAGGUUGAAGGUUGGGUAACACUAACUGGAGGACCGAACCGACUAAUGUUGAAAAAUUAGCGGAUGACCUGUGGCUGGGGGUGAAAGGCCAAUCAAACCGGGAGAUAGCUGGUUCUCCCCGAAAGCUAUUUAGGUAGCGCCUCGUGAAUUCAUCUCCGGGGGUAGAGCACUGUUUCGGCUAGGGGGCCAUCCCGGCUUACCAACCCGAUGCAAACUGCGAAUACCGGAGAAUGUUAUCACGGGAGACACACGGCGGGUGCUAACGUCCGUCGUGAAGAGGGAAACAACCCAGACCGCCAGCUAAGGUCCCAAAGUCAUGGUUAAGUGGGAAACGAUGUGGGAAGGCCCAGACAGCCAGGAUGUUGGCUUAGAAGCAGCCAUCAUUUAAAGAAAGCGUAAUAGCUCACUGGUCGAGUCGGCCUGCGCGGAAGAUGUAACGGGGCUAAACCAUGCACCGAAGCUGCGGCAGCGAACGUAUCACCCAAGACAACUUUACGGAGUUGACGAUUGACGGAGCGAAGCGACGUCAAAGCGUUCAUUAAAGUCGAGUUGGCUUAGGGAUACGUUCGUUGGGUAGGGGAGCGUUCUGUAAGCCUGUGAAGGUGGCCUGUGAGGGUUGCUGGAGGUAUCAGAAGUGCGAAUGCUGACAUAAGUAACGAUAAAGCGGGUGAAAAGCCCGCUCGCCGGAAGACCAAGGGUUCCUGUCCAACGUUAAUCGGGGCAGGGUGAGUCGACCCCUAAGGCGAGGCCGAAAGGCGUAGUCGAUGGGAAACGGGUUAAUAUUCCCGUACUUGGUGUUACUGCGAAGGGGGGACGGAGAAGGCUAUGUUGGCCGGGCGACGGUUGUCCUGGUUUAAGCGUGUAGGCUGGUUUUCCAGGCAAAUCCGGAAAAUCAAGGCUGAGGCGUGACGACGAGGCACUACGGUGCUGAAGCAACAAAUGCCCUGCUUCCAGGAAAAGCCUCUAAGCAUCAGGUAACACGAAAUCGUACCCCAAACCGACACAGGUGGUCAGGUAGAGAAUACCAAGGCGCUUGAGAGAACUCGGGUGAAGGAACUAGGCAAAAUGGUGCCGUAACUUCGGGAGAAGGCACGCUGACACGUAGGUGAAGUGAUUUACUCAUGGAGCUGAAGUCAGUCGAAGAUACCAGCUGGCUGCAACUGUUUAUUAAAAACACAGCACUGUGCAAACACGAAAGUGGACGUAUACGGUGUGACGCCUGCCCGGUGCCGGAAGGUUAAUUGAUGGGGUCAGCGCAAGCGAAGCUCCUGAUCGAAGCCCCGGUAAACGGCGGCCGUAACUAUAACGGUCCUAAGGUAGCGAAAUUCCUUGUCGGGUAAGUUCCGACCUGCACGAAUGGCGUAAUGAUGGCCAGGCUGUCUCCACCCGAGACUCAGUGAAAUUGAACUCGCUGUGAAGAUGCAGUGUACCCGCGGCAAGACGGAAAGACCCCGUGAACCUUUACUAUAGCUUGACACUGAACAUUGAGCCUUGAUGUGUAGGAUAGGUGGGAGGCUUUGAAGUGUGGACGCCAGUCUGCAUGGAGCCGACCUUGAAAUACCACCCUUUAAUGUUU